GACAUGAAUAUAUGUGCUCCACAGUAUGUUUGCUCAACAUGUUCGCUCAAGCAUGUUGAUUAGAGGCUGCACUGACUUGCAUUAGACGCGGACCAGCUGACUGUUGUUCAUAAUAAGCUGAUUAAUGUUGCAUUUGAGCAGGCAUUAUUUGAGCUACCAGAGAAGUUUAAAGAAUGCUAAAAGGAAUACACUCUAAACCCGGGGAGAAGGCUUAUGUUGCACGAAGAAACAAGAAACAUGUUUGAUUUGCAGGGUGAUUCUGCACUAAUUAUUCAGUUUGUUGUCUUUCCAAUCCAGAAGAACUAAGUGCUUGAUUUGGACAAGCCAUGGUGACACCAGCUCCCAGCCAUAGUGAUUUGUAAUUUGACAGAACUUAUCCCUGGUUGCGUAAUGGAGAAAUCAGGGAUGCCUAAGAUCAGCGAUGAGGCGGAGGCAUGCGCUUGUCCUCUCAGCCCUUGUUUUGAUGCCAUGGUGCCUUUCACUUCCGUCCGCCUCUAGCUGGCGCUGGAUGCACCUAUCCCUUUCCGCAGUGCAUCCAUGUUGCGGUACAACACCACUAAUAUCUCACGAAAUUGUUGGACCAGUUCUAAACUUGAUUAGUGGUCGAAGACAAAAAAAAAUUUGUCUCAUGUCCACAACCUUGGAGGAGGGAAACAUCAAAAGUUUGUUAGUGCAGGACUGUGUCGGGUAGCAUGUGAGGCCCCAACCGACACGCGCGGUCGUGCACCAAAGGCCCAGUACACAUAGACGCUACGUCCUGGACUGUGGCUGCUGCGUCUCCUAGGACUAUUUAGGUAACCUUUUCUAAAAUAAAGGCAAAUUGAAUUUUCUUCCAAUCCCACAUGAAUGUCAGUAAUAAGUAAGCUACUGGUAAUGCAAAUCUUCAAUGUCCAGUUUUUUUGGUAAUGGAACAUUUAGACCUACAUAUUAGAUUCCAGGAGAACAUGAUGCGAGCAGCACUGGCACAAGCAUGUGUGGUUAGAUAUUUGUUCAAAGGAAUCAUUACAAGAAAAUGUGAAAGAAGAAGGUUUGGGAAAUGAAAGGAAGCAUUGAUAUUCACGAUGGAGUGCUGGUUAUAGGAUGACAGACAACUAGAGGAUGAGGGUCGCUUUCUUUCCGUUGAUUAAAGAUCUGGUGGAUUUUCCCGACGCCAACUAUUCUAUUAUUGGUAUGUGACCUGCACAUGCUAUGGUUAGAUGCACUUCUAAUUUUCUCUCAAGCGUAUACAGAUUUUGUUUAUCGAUUUACCACUAAUUUCCACUACGGCCUGAGUAUUGAUCUCAUGCAUGCUUAUACAUAAUUACUAUUGAUUUACAGCCAUUUGUGAUUACCUUGCACUGUAAUACAACAACAACAAAGCCUUUAGUCCCAAACAAGUUGGGGUAGGCUAUUACUUUGCACUGUAAUGAGGAAGAUAUAUCUUGAUGAUGAUCUCAUUAUUUGACAUGAAAUUGGCAUAUAUGAGAUGGUCUAUGUGAGACUUGCGGAGACUGAUGUAUGAUUAUUUCAUUUCAUUUUGAUUUCCAGAAAGUGUUCUUGCAACAAUAUGAUAGCCUAUGACUCUAUUUUACCUUUUCUUAUGAAAAAAUGUUCUAAAUUAGUUCAUAAUUUCAUAUGUGUUAUUUUUUAAAAUAUCAUAUGUGUUUUCAGUAUUAGUUUGGUUUUUCUUAAAUGUAACAACAACUAGAAAAUGGUGUAAACGAUAAAUGACGACGGCCCGUUCAGAGAAGAUAGUUACUAUAUAGCUUACAUGUACGGUGGUGCCUCCCUUGAGUUGGAGAAUAUUUUAGUUCAUCAACUUGCAGCUAUAGCAAUGACCAACACAAUUUCUCCUACGAAAUUUCCAUUCUUCCCCUGUUCUGUUGGUUGCUGGUGUAGAUUUACUUCUUAUAUAAGAUAAGACAUAGAUUUUUUUGUUACAAGCAAAUUAGAUUGGUCAUGAAAACAUGUUAUUUCAGCAGCAGUUAUUGUUUCAACUGAUAUCAUCUUUGCUUACUGGGAGCUAGCUAUCCCCGACAAUAGAUUUACGCUUCAGUUAUAUUCGACCAGUAAUAUGACGUAAUGGUUUUGUUCUCUCCUUGCAUUUGCCUCUGCUUUCUUGAUUCUGUCCUUAAAUGAUGACUAGAUAUGCCCGUUGAUAAAGUUAUCUGAUGUACAUGAGGAUCAUGAAGUUAUAUGUUCCUCAUGAUUGGUGUUGACUAGCUACAGAACCUGGGCACUACUCAGUAGUCAGUACACCGACCACUUCAACGAUGCAACAGAUGCACCAACAUCCCACUGUGCAGAACACAUUUGUGUAGUCACUUUUUAUAUUACAACAAGGUUUACUCAGACACUACACUAUGGCUUCAAACCUGGGCUAAAUUUGUGUUGGCCUGAAGGAAUGCAAAAAAUACUACUUUGGCAUAUUGAUUGGUUGGCCCCUUGCAGCCUACAUGGUCGGGACAGGCGCUGGCAGGACGGAUAGAUGCUGUUUUGGUGCCAGUGGCGAGCUGCCGGGGUCGCGGUUCCUCGGCCAGGAUGAGAUGGGCAUCUUGGUGCUGGCUCGGAGGAGAAAGACGAAGGUUGGCCCAGCCAACGAUGGCCUGGCAAACGAACUGAAUUGUCUAGGUGUCAACCAGUUUGCCAUUUGGCGAAAGACAGGUCCAGGGGGAGACUCCAGUAUCCAAGAAUUCUGCCUAUGCACCUUAAAGAAGUUAUUUUCAUAAGUUCCAGGUGAACUACACUAAUGGUAAGAAA